GCUGCUUUGAACACUUCUUCCGCCACCAGACUGCUGCGUCUGCUGCUGCCUCCAGACUGAAAAUGAGCCACCCGACCAAAGUGGAGACCAAGCAACGCACGAUCGCGUCGCCCGUAUGCUGCAUAUAACGUAGGCGCCAACCACACGGCAAUUUCGUUUCAGAGAGCUCCAUCGCUGUUUCAUCCAGAGCCCCGCCAAUAUCUCCGAAAUUCUCCGUGGUCAGGGAAAAGAGUGGUGCUAGAGAGAUGGAUGCCCGCGAUCUGCAGACCGUGAUCCUCAAGAUAGCGGUGCCCGUGAUGGCCAUGGUGCUGCUGCUCACGGUGUCGACUGUCUCCAUGACGCCGGAGACUGUGCGUGCGCCUGCCUCCGUGCCUGCUUCUUCCGCAGCGACUACUGUCUGAUGAUCUGCGUGCUCUCCGAGAUGAACCUGGGCCGUCUUCUGGCGAGGGAGGCCGCUCAGUCGCCGACGCUGGCGGAUCGGCGCUACUACGCGGUGGGCGCCGUCGCAUGCUUCGUGGAGGUCGUGCUCAGGCUGUACAUGAUCCUGGUGCUUUGCCCCUCGGCUUAGCUUCGUCGCGCGCGUGUGGAUGUGCCUGCCCAAGGACCGAAGAUGGAUAGUUUUGGAGUCUGAAGAUGCGCCGUUUUGUUCAGUUAUUAUUACUACUACUCUGCUAAGUUUUACUACAAGUUUGGAAAGGGCCUGUCUGGAGAUGUUCGUCCUUGGGUAAAAGACUAUCUUUUUAGUACUACUGUAGCAUUUUGUUGUUGUCUUGUUCCCUAUGUAUGAAGU